UACGUAGGGAGCAAGCGUUGUUCGGAUUUACUGGGCGUAAAGGGCGCGUAGGCGGCAAUUCAAGUCACUUGUGAAAUCUCCGGGCUUAACUCGGAACGGUCAAGUGAUACUGCUUUGCUAGAGUGCGGAAGGGGCAAUCGGAAUUCUCGGUGUAGCGGUGAAAUGCGUAGAUAUCUGGAGGAAUACCGGUGGCGAAGGCGGCAUCCUGGACCGAGAUUGACGCUGAUGAGCGAAAGCUAGGGGAGCAAACGGG
rnacentral:rRNA from 1 species